rnacentral:rRNA from 1 species
AUUAAACAAUCAUCUGGAAAGUUGAAUCAAAGAAGGUAAUAAUCCUGUAGUUGAAAAUAUAUUCUCUCUUGAGUGGAUCCUGAGUACGACGGAGCACGUGAAAUUCCGUCGGAAUCUGGGAGGACCAUCUCCUAAGGCUAAAUACUCUCUAGUGACCGAUAGUGAACCAGUACCGUGAGGGAAAGGUGAAAAGUACCCCGGAAGGGGAGUGAAAGAGAACUUGAAACCGUGUGCUUACAAGUAGUCAGAGCCCGUUAAUGGGUGAUGGCGUGCCUUUUGUAGAAUGAACCGGCGAGUUACGAUCUGAUGCAAGGUUAAGCAGAAAAUGUGGAGCCGUAGCGAAAGCGAGUCUGAAUAGGGCGUAUAGUAUUUGGUCGUAGACCCGAAACCAGGUGAUCUACCCAUGGUCAGGUUGAAGUUCAGGUAACACUGAAUGGAGGACCGAACCGACUUACGUUGAAAAGUGAGCGGAUGAACUGUGGGUAGCGGAGAAAUUCCAAUCGAACUUGGAGAUAGCUGGUUCUCUCCGAAAUAGCUUUAGGGCUAGCCUCAAGUGAUGAUUAUUGGAGGUAGAGCACUGUUUGGACGAGGGGCCCCUCUCGGGUUACCGAAUUCAGACAAACUCCGAAUGCCAAUUAAUUUAACUUGGGAGUCAGAACAUGGGUGAUAAGGUCCGUGUUCGAAAGGGAAACAGCCCAGACCACCAGCUAAGGUCCCAAAAUAUAUGUUAAGUGGAAAAGGAUGUGGCGUUGCCCAGACAACUAGGAUGUUGGCUUAGAAGCAGCCAUCAUUUAAAGAGUGCGUAAUAGCUCACUAGUCGAGUGACACUGCGCCGAAAAUGUACCGGGGCUAAACAUAUUACCGAAGCUGUGGAUUGUCCUUUGGACAAUGGUAGGAGAGCGUUCUAAGGGCGUUGAAGCAUGAUCGCAAGGACAUGUGGAGCGCUUAGAAGUGAGAAUGCCGGUGUGUAGUAGCGAAAGACGGGUGAUGAAUCCCGUCCACCGAUUGACUAAGGUUUCCAGAGGAAGGCUCGUCCGCUCUGGGUUAGUCGGGUCCUAAGCUGAGGCCGACAGGCGUAGGCGAUGGAUAACAGGUUGAUAUUCCUGUACCACCUAUAAUCGUUUUAAUCGAUGGGGGGACGCAGUAGGAUAGGCGAAGCGUACGAUUGGAUUGUACGUCUAAGCAGUGAGAUUGAGUGUUAGGCAAAUCCGGCACUCUUAAGAUUGAGCUGUGAUGGGGAGAGGAAAUUGUUUCCUCGAGUCGUUGAUUUCACACUGCCGAGAAAAGCCUCUAGAUAGAGAUUAGGUGCCCGUACCGCAAACCGACACAGGUAGUCAAGAUGAGAAUUCUAAGGUGAGCGAGCGAACUCUCGUUAAGGAACUCGGCAAAAUGACCCCGUAACUUCGGGAGAAGGGGUGCUCUUUAGGGUGCAAGCCCAGAAGAGCCGCAGUGAAUAGGCCCAAGCGACUGUUUAUCAAAAACACAGGUCUCUGCUAAACCGUAAGGUGAUGUAUAGGGGCUGACGCCUGCCCGGUGCUGGAAGGUUAAGAGGAGUGGUUAGCUUCUGCGAAGCUACGAAUCGAAGCCCCAGUAAACGGCGGCCGUAACUAUAACGGUCCUAAGGUAGCGAAAUUCCUUGUCGGGCAAGUUCCGACCCGCACGAAAGGCGUAACGAUUUGGGCACUGUCUCAACGAGAGACUCGGUGAAAUCAUAGUACCUGUGAAGAUGCAG